GACGACCUUUGGCGGCACGCUUAACACAUGCAAGUCGAACGAGAGAAGAGAAGCUUGCUUUUCUGAUCUAGUGGCGGACGGGUGAGUAACACGUGAGCAAUCUGCCUUUCAGAGGGGGAUACCGAUUGGAAACGAUCGUUAAUACCGCAUAACAUAAUUGAACCGCAUGAUUUGAUUAUCAAAGAUUUAUCGCUGAAAGAUGAGCUCGCGUCUGAUUAGCUAGUUGGUAAGGUAACGGCUUACCAAGGCGACGAUCAGUAGCCGGACUGAGAGGUUGAUCGGCCACAUUGGGACUGAGACACGGCCCAGACUCCUACGGGAGGCAGCAGUGGGGAAUAUUGCACAAUGGAGGAAACUCUGAUGCAGCGAUGCCGCGUGAGGGAAGAAGGUUUUAGGAUUGUAAACCUCUGUCUUCAGGGACGAAAAAAGACGGUACCUGAGGAGGAAGCUCCGGCUAACUACGUGCCAGCAGCCGCGGUAAUACGUAGGGAGCGAGCGUUGUCCGGAAUUACUGGGUGUAAAGGGAGCGUAGGCGGGAUCGCAAGUCAGAUGUGAAAACUAUGGGCUUAACCCAUAAACUGCAUUUGAAACUGUGGUUCUUGAGUGAAGUAGAGGUAAGCGGAAUUCCUAGUGUAGCGGUGAAAUGCGUAGAUAUUAGGAGGAACAUCAGUGGCGAAGGCGGCUUACUGGGCUUUAACUGACGCUGAGGCUCGAAAGCGUGGGGAGCAAACAGGAUUAGAUACCCUGGUAGUCCACGCCGUAAAA
rnacentral:rRNA from 1 species